GCGCCGUAGGGAUCCGUAGGCGGUCUGGUAAGUCGGUUGUGAAAUCUCCGGCCUUACCCCAGAGGCUGCUAAUGUGACUGCUGUGCUAGAGUGUGAGAGAGGCGAGUGGAUGUACGGGUGUAGCGGUGAAAUGUGUAUAUAUGUGUAGGAACAUUCGAGGCGAAGGCGGCUCCCUGGAUCUCUACUGACGCUGAUGGACGAAAGCUAGGGGAGCAAACAGGAUUAGAUACCCUGGUAGUCCUAGCCCUAAACCAUCAGGACUUGGGGUUUGCCUUGUAUUGCGUAAGUCCCGUAGCUAACGCGUUAAGUCCUGCGCCUGGGGAGUACGGUCGCAAGGUUGAAACUCAAAGGAAUUGACGGGGGCCCGCACAAGCGGUGGAACAUGUGGUUCAAUUCGACGCAACGCGAAGAACCUUACCUGGGCUUGAACCGCACAGGACCAGCCUCAGAAAUGGGGCCUUCCCGCAAGGGAACUGAGUAAAGGUGCUGCAUGGCUGUCGUCAGCUCGUGCCGGGAGGAGUUGGGUUAAGUCCCGCCACGAGCGCAACCCUUACUCAUAGUUGCUUCCCGCAGAGCACAACUCUAUGACGACUGCUCCCGAUCACGGAGAGGAAGGUGAGGAUGACGUCACGUCAUCAUGGUCUUUAUUUUCGGGGCUACACGCGUGUGACGGUGCGCGCCACAGAGCGUCGCAGACCCGCGAGGGGGAGCUAAUCGCAGAAAAGCGCGCUCAGAUCGGAUUGCAGUCUGCAACUCGACUGCGUGAAGCCGGAAUCGCUAGUAAUGGCGCAUCUCAACAGCGCCCUGAAUACAUUUUCGGGUCUUGUACAACUCCGCCCGUC
rnacentral:rRNA from 1 species